UAAACCAUGAAAGACUGAGCAAAGCCGCGACUUUAAAAAUCUCGCCAGUAUAAAACUGAAAGUUCCGUUAUAAGCGUAUAAGCUAUACAUGAAUCAGAUUGGUAUACAAACUUAUGUGGCACGAGUAGGAUCUGGUCUUAAGCAUUACACAAACAUGUAUGUAUAUGUGUUUGUUGUUACUAUUCCACACGCUAAUGAAAUUUGGUAUCACCGGUAGAAUAUAACCUAAAAAUUAGGAACUCAUAGGGUACUUUUUAUAACUUAAUUCCCACGGAAGCGAAGCCCCGAGGCGCAGCUGAGUGCCACAUGAGUUCGUAUUAGUUUCCAUAAACCACUAUUUGGUACCGGUGAAGAAGAACGUGAGGAUCUGCAACUUACACACUGGUUGACAAUACAGCAAUGUGUGUAUGUGCCUAUUUGUCACUUGACGGCCAUAGGACGUCUAAAAGUUAUGUCAAACGACUUAACGCCCUUUGACGACUAACACGCUCCAGAAGAAAUAGAUAUUAAGAAAUAUGACGGAAUUAAGCACUUAAACAUCUAUCAGAGUAGAAUACCAACCACGAAACAUAUAGUAAACACGAAGCACGUUACUAACGUCCACAUGCUGUCUCGUUUUCCCAUAUCGUUACGACGACGCAAUGACGUGUUACCAGUUUUAUGUUUCAUGGUAGCCCCCCAAGUCAUCAUUAGUAGAAAUUAUCAACAGUGCAUCAACCCACUUAGGACUACGUUACUAAUCUUUUUGAUAGCUGAUACGUUAUCUCGAGAUAAGCUGAUACACAAAACAUGUUUUCAUAACAUAUUAAGACGAAGAACUCCGUGUACAAAUACAUAGUUAUUUAGCUUUAAAUACAUAGUUAUUUAGAAUUUUGGGAUAGUAAACUUCAGUACUUACAAAAUUCAGUUCAAGUCCCUCGAGGGACAAGAUUUUAAAGAAUGCCGCCUCGUCAGAACGAAGACCUUAUUGUACAACCAGAGCGGAUUCCCGAAGGACAAGCCAGGCCUCCACCCCCGCCGCCACCAGGCCGCCUGCAAAGGCCACCACAUGACAACCCUGCAAAUUACAUUGCCAGAUCUGGCAACACCGCACGCACUAAUUUUAUCAAUAAUGCCAACCGCAGAAUGUGAUACAGUGAUAGCCUUUUUUAUUCAAAUUUAAGAAUUGUUAUUAAUUGUAUUUUAUCGAAUAAAUAACAUACUAUUUUAAUAUCUCUUGCUUUUCAGAUUAAACUGCAAAAACUAACAAAACUAAAGUUGCCGUAACACCGAGUAAAUAUAUUAUCUACCUACAUAGUCUUUGAAACUGAGCCUCAUCCAUAUGUGCCCGGACAAAGUCAAUUCCCGCUCGUUCCCAUUUCUUCACGUGUAUUUAUACUUAAUGGGAAUAAUUAUUUGGUACCUAUGCCAUUUUAAAUUUGGUAGCCUAAAGAAAUUCUGCCUAAUAAUCAUUUGGCCAGCAAAUCAAAAUAUAGGCAAUCACAGAUUUAAUGUUUUUAUAUCCGUGUAGGCAAUCAAUUCUUGUUUCGCAAACAAUCAUGAUAAUGGUCAGCAAUAUUCAGCAAUAUAGUUUGGUCAGCAAAAUCAGCUCCAAACAGAAAGAUGAGGUGGAAUAAGAUUCGGGAUGGGCUCAAACUGGCUCUGAGGAGGCGCCGAGCAUAUAUUAAAAAUAAAACAGAAAUUUACAAGAAGGUCAGCUGUCCUUUAUAAAGUCUGAAGUGGUCGGUUUGGGUUUUCGAAAUUCGAUGGAAGAUUACACUUUGUCAAAUACAAAUGGGUAUGAAGAAAGCAUGUACGACACUCCUGAAAUAAGUGUUUCAGUAUCUCCUACUCCCUCAGAAAAUAGGGAGGAAUCCCCUAUAGAUUUUAAGGAAGAAAAAAGAAUCACUCUACAUGAAGAAUUUGAAGAUCCGUUAAGUGGAAAUCAUCAGAACAAUUUAGAAAUGAAUGAAGUUUUACAAUAUAUGUAGACAUUCAGAAAUCUAAGAUCAGAUGACAGAGAACUGGAUGACCUGGACAAUUUUUUCCUUAAUUUAAAUAGAGACGUGAAAAAGCUGCCCAAAUGCAAACAAUUUCAAAUUAAAAUUAAUAUUUGUACAACUGUCCGUGAAGCUCAGCUUGAUACCGAAGAGUAAUCCCAUACUGAAACCAUCUCUAGUGUGAUUAUUAGCCACAUAGCAAGGCGAGGUGAAAUCCGAUUCGUUAAUUUAUCGAACAGACUUAGAAAUUAUUCUAAGUUCUGUGAUAAAUAGGCACCGGGCGUUUGUUAAAAAUAAAAGAAAAAAUCGCCGCCUCUUGACCUGCGUUUUGGAAGUCUGCAGUAGACUUAAUUGUAAAUAAAAUUUUGACUAAUGCGUUAAGUGUUUUCCUGGUAAACACGAGAUUUAGUGAUAUUGUGUAUUAAUAAUAUUCUCAUAAUUUAUUUUUUUUAGUAAUAUUUUAAUAAUUUUUGCUUACAUACUUUGGGGACUCCUGCAUCCUGGGGGCCCUGUAUCAUUGAAACGGGGUCCUGCAUUUGACAUUUUGAUAUUUAAUUUAAAGUGAAUAUAGCAAUGACAAGAUUUUUUUUUUACUUUUAAAAUUUAAAAACGAGCGGGACAUAAAAACAAUUGAUGUCACAUGUUGCCGCGGUAUUUAUGCCUUGCCUUCUUUCUUUUUUUUUUCGGGAUUUUGUUUUUAAAGUAUUUUUUUUUAAAUUAGGUAAUAAAAAUGUUACUAAUGAAUCACUAAA